CACGAACGCUGGCGGCAGGCUUAACACAUGCAAGUCGAGCGCCCCGCAAGGGGAGCGGCAGACGGGUGAGUAACGCGUGGGAAUCUACCCAUCUCUACGGAAUAACGCAUGGAAACGUGUGCUAAUACCGUAUACGUCCUUCGGGAGAAAGAUUUAUCGGAGAUGGAUGAGCCCGCGUUGGAUUAGUUAGUUGGUGGGGUAAAGGCCUACCAAGGCGACGAUCCAUAGCUGGGCUGAGAGGAUGAUCAGCCACACUGGGACUGAGACACGGCCCAGACUCCUACGGGAGGCAGCAGUGGGGAAUAUUGGACAAUGGGCGCAAGCCUGAUCCAGCCAGGCCGCGUGAGUGAUGAAGGCCCUAGGGUUGUAAAGCUCUUUCACCGGUGAAGAUAAUGACGGUAACCGGAGAAGAAGCCCCGGCUAACUUCGUGCCAGCCGCCGCCGUAACAC
rnacentral:rRNA from 1 species